UUCAGCGCGGUACUCAGAUGAGCUAAGGAAAUACCAGAAAAAAAACAGAUUUUGCGAGUGAAUUUCGAUGAACGCCGUUACCCGUGGUAACGGGCGUGUCCUCGCAAAGAAGCAGAACCACCAGUAAUACGAACUCCGCCGACCUCUCCAUUAGGCUACUUGGGAUUCGUGCGUGGACAUCCUUACAAAGAAGAUGGGUUUGUUGUCAAACGGAAAAGAAAUCAGUUGCAGAAAUUUAAGAAGGUGGAGUCUCCUGGUACACAAAGAAAUUACAAUAAAAAUAAAUGAAAUGUUCAA